AUACGGAGGGUGCAAGCGUUACUCGGAAUCACUGGGCGUAAAGCGCGCGCAGGCGGCUAUUUAAGUUGGAUGUGAAAGCCUACGGCUCAACCGUAGAACUGCAUCCAAAACUAUUUAGCUAGAGUGUGGGAGAGGAAGAUGGAAUUAGUUGUGUAGGGGUAAAAUCCGUGGAGAUAACUAGGAAUACCAAAAGCGAAGGCAAUCUUCUGGAACACUACUGACGCUGAGGCGCGAAAGCGUGGGGAGCAAACAGGAUUAGAUACCCUAGUAGUCC
rnacentral:rRNA from 1 species